AAUAAAGACAGCGACUUUUUCAGUAUUAAUUUCCUAAAGAACAACAUAGGUUACGUUUUUCAGCUAAUUGUUGUACUCGUGAGUUCAACGCAUCACGCGAUUAAAAUUAUUGUCUUAACUCUGAAUUUAUUUAAAACAACACUUAACAGCAGCUGUAGAAACCUUUACUUCUCUGUGUAUUUAUUCUCUGCUGCUUAUGUGGAUAAAUGCGAUCAGGCUCUUAAAGCGUAAAGGGACAAUCAAUAUUCAGAAAACAAACUGAAACACGUCAUGAUGGUACCCUCAGUGGCUAAGUGGAGUUUCAUCCUCCUUUUCGUUUUAUUGAAACAUCCUCAACAAGCAAAAGGAUGGAGGAGAGUUCCUACGUUUU